GAUGAACGCUGGCGGCGUGCCUAACACAUGCAAGUCGAACGGAACUUCUUCGACAGAAUUCUUCGGAAGGAAGUUGAUUAAGUUUAGUGGCGGACGGGUGAGUAACGCGUGAGUAACCUGCCUUUGAGAGGGGAAUAACUUCCCGAAAGGGAUGCUAAUACCGCAUGACGCAUAUUUAUCGCAUGGUAGAUAUGCCAAAGAUUUAUCGCUCAAAGAUGGACUCGCGUCCGAUUAGCCAGUUGGCGGGGUAACGGCCCACCAAAGCGACGAUCGGUAGCCGGACUGAGAGGUUGAACGGCCACAUUGGGACUGAGACACGGCCCAGACUCCUACGGGAGGCAGCAGUGGGGGAUAUUGCGCAAUGGGGGAAACCCUGACGCAGCAACGCCGCGUGAAGGAUGAAGGUUUUCGGAUUGUAAACUUCUUUUAUUUAGGACGAACAAUGACGGUACUAAAUGAAUAAGCUCCGGC
rnacentral:rRNA from 1 species